rnacentral:misc_RNA from 1 species
GAAGUGCGAUAAGUAGUGUGAAUUGCAGAUCCGUGAAUCAUCAAGUGUUUGAACGCAAACUGCGCUCUUGCUGCUGAAGUGAGAGCAUGCCUGUUUGAGUGUCAUUGUUCUCGCCUACAGGCAAUCCCAUUCUCCAGAGUGGGGGUUGCACUGUGAGAGUGGACGUCAUGCGCUGCGCUGCAAUGCAAUGCAAUGCCAUGCAUGUCGUCUGAAGCACAGUCGGAGCGGCGGAGUGUGAACACCUGCUGCUGCUGUCUCCCCCCUGGGAGAGAGGAGGGUGCUGGCAACAAAACCCCCCACAUCCCGGAACCGAGAGGGUAGCAGUGGUCACCUGUUGCACCGAUGGCUUGCAAACAACAACAACAACAUCUAUGACCUCAGAUCAGGCAAGAGUACCCGCUGAAUUUAA